rnacentral:rRNA from 1 species
GUGUCAGCCGCCGCGGUAAUACAGAGGUCCCGAGCGUUGUUCGGAUUCAUUGGGCGUAAAGGGUGCGUAGGUGGCGCUGUAAGUGGGGUGUGAAAUCCCGGGGCUUAACUCCGGAACUGCAUUCCAUACUGCGGUGCUUGAGGACUGGAGAGGAGACUGGAAUUUACGGUGUAGCAGUGAAAUGCGUAGAGAUCGUAAGGAAGACCAGUGGCGAAGGCGGGUCUCUGGACAGUUCCUGACACUGAGGCACGAAGGCCAGGGGAGCAAACGGGAUUAGAAACCCCCGUAGUCC